rnacentral:rRNA from 1 species
AGGAUUAACGCUGGCGGCGUGCCUGACACAUGCAAGUCGAACGAGGCCGCAAGGCCGAGUGGCGGACGGGUGAGUAACACGUGCCAACCAACCUCGAAGUUGGGAAUAGCUCUGCGAAAGUAGGGGUAAUACCGAAUGUGGCCCAGGGCGGGCAUCCGCCUUGGUCUAAAGAUUCAUCGCUUCGAGACGGGGUCGCGGCCUAUUAGCUUGUUGGUGAGGUAACGGCUCACCAAGGCGAUGAUGGGUAGCUGGUCUGAGAGGACGACCAGCCACACUGGGACUGAGACACGGCCCAGACUCCUACGGGAGGCAGCAGUGAGGAAUCUUCCGCAAUGGGCGAAAGCCUGACGGAGCAACGCCGCGUGUGGGAUGAAGACUCUAGGGUUGUAAACCACUGUCGGAGGGGACGAUCGUGACGGUACCCUCCAAGAAAGCCCCGGCUAACUACGUGCCAGCAGCCGC